rnacentral:rRNA from 1 species
UACAACUUUCAACAACGGAUCUCUUGGCUCUCGCAUCGAUGAAGAACGCAGCGAAAUGCGAUACGUAAUGUGAAUUGCAGAAUUCAGUGAA